UACGAAGGGGGCUAGCGUUGCUCGGAAUCACUGGGCGUAAAGGGUGCGUAGGCGGGUCUUAAGUCAGGGGUGAAAUCCUGGAGCUCAACUCCAGAACUGCCUUUGAUACUGAAGAUCUUGAGUUCGGGAGAGGUGAGUGGAACUGCGAGUGUAGAGGUGAAAAUUCGUAGAUAUUCGCAAGAACACCAGUGGCGAAGGCGGCUCACUGGACUGGUAUUGACGCUGAGGUGCGAAAGCGUGGGGAGCAAACAGG
rnacentral:rRNA from 1 species